GGGGGUUGCCUGGGGGGUUAGUGGACUGUGCUCCGUGUGAUCUGCUCUGGUAACUAUGGAAUAUACUUGAAAAAUCACGCGUUAUUGGAAGAGCAAUGGGAGGUGGUUCACCACAGCCCGGCUCUACCUUGGGAAAGUCGUGUUUAUUUCUCAACGACAUCGGCUCUCCAGUGGGGGACUUGUGAUCCGUCGGGAACCUCAGCCGUCACCCCCAAGAGCAGUGUUACUUGAUGUGCCUUCAUGAUCAAUCCAAUUUGCUCAUAAAUGAAAAGAUUAAAUUAUUUUGUGCAGUUUUGUGUAUGGGGAGGUCAGCCUAGCAAAAGAUUAAUAAAAAUUGGGACAGAGAUGUCUGUCAACAUGAUCGAUAUCUAGAUGGUGCUUAGAGAGGAAAAAUGUGAGUCACAAUAAUGACAGAGAUUGAUCGAUUUUUAUAAGAAAGCACCUAACCCUAUACGGCUGCCCCCCUUUUUUUUUAACUCAAAUCUCGAUGGCGCCUUAAGUGAAAUUUCGUUCUUCCGUAUUUGAGUGUGUAAAGGUAAGACAGUAAUAGUUAAGAAGAGACAUCCCCCUGCCAAUGAUGGGUGACGGACAGGAAGACACAGGAGGAGGAGGAGGAGGAGACGGGGGUACUGUCGCCAUUCAAGAUACGAGCCAGGCAAUAACACGGCUUCAGGAUCUGGAGCGGCUCUUCCUCUCUGGGCCUGCUGAAACAAGUGGCCAGAGUUACUCUGUUGAAACCCUUUUGGAUGUGCUCUUGGUUCUGUUUGAUGAGUGCACAAACUCAUCAUUGAGACGUGAGAAGACCGUGUCUGACUUCAUUGAAUAUGGUGAGUCUUGGUGAUCCUGGUGACAGCUGAGUGAGA